GAUGAACGCUGGCGGCGUGCCUAAUACAUGCAAGUCGAGCGAACAGAUGAGGAGCUUGCUCCUCUGACGUUAGCGGCGGACGGGUGAGUAACACGUGUAUAACCUACCUAUAAGACUGGGAUAACUUCGGGAAACCGGAGCUAAUACCGGAUAAUAUAUUGAACCGCAUGGUUCAAUAGUGAAAGACGGUUUUGCUGUCACUUAUAGAUGGAUCCGCGCCGCAUUAGCUAGUUGGUAAGGUAACGGCUUACCAAGGCAACGAUGCGUAGCCGACCUGAGAGGGUGAUCGGCCACACUGGAACUGAGACACGGUCCAGACUCCUACGGGAGGCAGCAGUAGGGAAUCUUCCGCAAUGGGCGAAAGCCUGACGGAACAACGCCGCGUGAGUGAUGAAGGUCUUCGGAUCGUAAAACUCUGUUAUUAGGGAAGAACAAAUGUGUAAGUAACUAUGCACGUCUUGACGGUACCUAAUCAGAAAGCCACGGCUAACUACGUG
rnacentral:rRNA from 1 species